CCCGGGGGGUGCUCUGGCCACAGUGAUAUCACCAUGAGACCCCUUAAGCUGGUUUCCUCUAGCUCCUUCCUCAUUUCUUGGGGAUUACUGGGUUCAGGCCUACUCCUCAGGGACCCAGGAAGUGAAGGCACGAGGAGCGCUGGGGCUCAGCGUGGGAGCAGAGAAGGAGGAGCUGACGUGACCCUCUCGUCCCAGCUUUGUGGCUCAUUUGCCGUAGAGACUUUGCAGAACCCUGGAACAGAGCUGCCUGUCUGCAGAGUGGAGGCUUAGGAAGGGCUUUGGAAUCUAGGCUGCUUUGCAGGCCAUCAGGGAGCGUUUGCCUCCCUCUUUGUGCAGGAGUGCUAAUCCCAACCUUCCAGGUGUCUGGCCAGUGAGGCCGAAGUUCCUGUGCUGUUUCUGAUCAGAGGCUCAGGAGUUCCUCCCACAGAGAGAUGAAGCCUGGCAGCCGGCCUCAUUUCUCAGAAUUUCCAAAAUAAGCAUAUAGAUUAGUAAUUGAUAGUGACAUAUAAUUUAAACGCAUCGUGACAGAGACUCCAUUUCCAGAGGUGAAGGUGAUGGAGAAGGCAAGAGUAUUUAACUCAGGACGACAGAAGGAAGGGUCAGCGGGACGUUGAGGGCUGACUGGAGGGGAGGACAAGGGGUGGGGAUAUAGACGGAGAGUGAUGGCUGCUGAAAAGGAGCUGCAGGCAGAGAAAAGAGGCUGGAGUGGAAGACAACCUUCCGCCAUGCCUUAUACCGGCUCGGCUCAACCUCAGAAGGGCGGCUGUUGGGGACAUUUUUAUCCUGCCUGCUGUAAUAUCCUUUUGUGUUGUUGGCGCCAAUUUUAUUUCAAAUAAAAAAGCAAGCAAUUUACUAUAAA
rnacentral:lncRNA from 1 species